GCGAGUAAAGUGGCGGACGGGUGAGGAACGCGUAGGAAUCUGCCUAGUAGUGGGGGAUAACUCGGGGAAACUCGAGCUAAUACCGCAUACACUCUGAGGAGAAAAGCGGGGGACCUUUGGGCCUCGCGCUAUUAGAGGAGCCUGCGUUAGAUUAGUUUGUUGGUGAGGUAAUGGCUCACCAAGACUACGAUCUAUAGCUGGUCUGAGAGGACGAUCAGCCACACUGGAACUGAGACACGGUCCAGACUUCUACGGAAGGCAGCAGUUAGGAAUAUUGCGCAAUGGGCGAAAGCCUGACGCAGCGAUGCCGCGUGUGUGAAGAAGGCUCUAGGGUUGUAAAGCACUUUCAGUCGUGAAGAAAUUUAUUUUGUUAAUACCGAAAUGAUUUGACGUUAACGACAGAAGAAGUACCGGCUAACUCCGUGCCAGCAGCCGCGGUAAUACGGAGGGUACAAACGUUAAUCGGAAUUACUGGGCGUAAAGCGCGCGUAGGCGGUUCGUUAAGUGGGAUGUGAAAGCCCCGGGCUCAACCUGGGAACUGCAUUCCAAACUGGCUAACUAGAGUGUGGUAGAGGGAAGUAGAAUUUGAUGUGUAGCGGUGAAAUGCGUAGAUAUAUCAAGGAAUACCAAUGGCGAAGGCAGCUUCCUGG
rnacentral:rRNA from 1 species